AACCUCCGCAAUGUGAGAAAUCGCGACGGGGGGAUCCCAAGUGCCAUUCUUAACGGGAUGGCUUUUCAUUAGUGUAAAGAGCUUUUGGAAUAAGAGCUGGGCAAGACCGGUGCCAGCCGCCGCGGUAACACCGGCAGCUCUAGUGGUAGUUGUUUUUAUUGGGCCUAAAGCGUUCGUAGCCGGUUUGAUAAGUCACUGGUGAAAUCCUGUAGCUUAACUGUGGGAAUUGCUGGAGAUACUAUUAGACUUGAGACCGGGAGAGGUUAGAGGUACUCCCAGGGUAGAGGUGAAAUUCUGUAAUCCUGGGAGGACCGCCUGUUGCGAAGGCGUCUAACUGGAACGGUUCUGACGGUGAGGGACGAAAGUUAGGGGCGCGAACCGGAUUAGAUACCCGGGUAGUCCUAACUGUAAACGAUGCGGACUUGGUGUUGGGGUGGCUUUGAGCUGCUCCAGUGCCGAAGGGAAGCUGUUAAGUCCGCCGCCUGGGAAGUACGGUCGCAAGACUGAAACUUAAAGGAAUU
rnacentral:rRNA from 1 species